AUUUCUUGAUCUCUCUCGGCUUCGGUUUCGGUUUCUUGGAACCCUCCGCUCCUUUCUUCUCGAUUCAAUCCGCACACGUUGUUCUUGAAUCCUUCCACCGAUUUCUGUACUGGUAGGCGAUCGAUCGAUUCCGCGCACUUUUUGAAUGUCGAUUUGAGCGGGUGCACCCUGGAGGACGGUUUCUUGGGUUCUGAUAUGGAGCAGAGGACGGGGGGGAGACCGGAGUUACCUUCGAUGAAUUCCCUUAUUGCCUUAGGAUCAUACCAGGUGGACCCAUUUGAUCCUUUAAUAGAGGAAUCUCAACUGCAAACUGCCAAUCAGAACAUGAUAUUGUCCAUACUGUAUAGCCUCAGCUCCUUUAUUAUCAUAUCUGGUAGUUCUUUUCUUCGGUCUCCCUCGUCUUCGGUUCCAAGAACCUCAGAAAUAGUUAUCAUAUCUAGCAGUUCUUCCAUGCGCCAACCUAGAGGCUACUUUAUAUGUUUGCCAUACUAGAAGAUCAACUAUUCAUGUGGCUGAAUGAGAGAGUUAUUCUGAACCCAUUCCUCUGAGUGAUUAAUCUUGACGUGGAUUAUGAGGGUUAAAAUGACCUUCCAAUUUUGAGCACAGGAGAGCAGGGAAUCAAUAUUAAGGAAGCUUUUGUCAAAAGAAAAGGUUGAAGGACUCUACUACAAGGAGCUUGCAGCAAUCACAGACGGAUAUACUGGUAGUGAUCUUAAGAAUCUCUGCAUUACAGCAGCAUAUCGUCCUGUUAAGGAGCUGAUUCAGAAAGAGAGAGAACAAAGGAAUUGGUAAGUCUGUACAUCUUCAAAAUUUAUGUUCUGGAUUUGACUUAACAGAUUUGACACGCUGUUAAUCUUGCAUAUUUUCUUCAUAGCCUACAGCAGAAUUUCAAUAAGUCUUUUUAUAUACAUUUUAUUUUCCUGAGUUUUUAUUAUGUAUAAAUUAAAGUAUAGAUCACACAUAUACCUUUAUGAUUUUCUCCGAGAACAAAAAAACUCAAAUGUUUUCUUCUAACUUAAUUUUCUUUAUCUAUACACCUUAGGUCAUUACCAAUCAUAGAUAAUACAAUAUCGACUGACACGUGAUCGUGGAAUUCGUCACUUUCCACUCAUCUGUCUUACGUGGAUAAAGAUUUAGACAAACACAAACUUUUUUCUUAUCCAUGAUAAGGAAAGUAAUUACAAGUUUCCUUCUCAUUCAUUAUGAUAAGAAAUGUAAUAUAACGAGGAAGACAAUCACAAAAGAUAUUUUAAAUCUAAUGCAAGAGAUUCCUUUUUGAACUACUCAAACUCACAUUUGAUGACCUUUGAUUACUAACUUGAUUUCAAUUUUGGUAAAAAAAAAUCUUUUUGAUUUUAGUCUUCGUGCAAGUAACACCUUCAAAGCUUUACGUUUUCACUUCGGAGGCACUUCGGACAACCUUAUAUGGGUUUGAACCGAGCUAAUCAAAAUGUCAACGAUAUUUUCUUGUAAUAACUAAUGUUUCCCGAAUUUUCUACACAUAAAAUCAGUAAAAAGUUACAUUUUUGCCUAAUUUUUUAAAACAAAAACCAGGAUUUGAAUUAUUUUACUAAUGUGAAAUUUGAUAUAAUCCAUUUUUAUAUAAAAGUAAGUGUACCUUAUGCCACUGUAAAAUUUAUGCCCGAGUUGCAUUGGUCGGUGCCCAUGCUGGCUGACUUCCAAUUGUAGCAAUAGCUGAUUACUUGCUCAUGAACUCUUUCAAAGUUAACUGUAAUGGUUUCGGGAGGAGUAUAAAACUGAAAAAGGUGAGAAAUUUUCAGUGGAUUCGGAAAAAGGUGAGUAUAUAACCUGCAAUUGCCCUUAGGACAUUAAACAUGGAAGACUUGAAGCAAGCAGAUAAUCAGGUGAGUUUAUGCUUUUGUUGCAUUCUAGAAAUCUUCAUUUUAAGCAUAUCUGCAUUUUAAAAUUGCACGUUCAACAUAUUGAAGUGUUAAGUAUUGCUUAUCAAUCAAUCAUGGUUGUUUGUUAACCUGUUCUAGAUGGAUGACAAUUUGAUCCAAAAAUGAAACUUGAUCAGACAGACUGGACAAUGUCAAUAGUAUUAUGGUUGAUAUGUUUAUAAUUCUAGUUUCAAACUUGUAUAUUGCAGCUUAGUUUUCUCACGAGUGUUGCAUAGAAUAAGGGGCAUUGUUCUACAUGUGGGGUUAUUGUUAGUGCUGCCAAAUACAACUUUGUGUCAAUUUUGCUUGGGGAAAAAAUUGUGCGCCAUCCUUAUAGAGUGAGAUAAGCUUUAGUCUGAUGUCAAAGAUAUUCAUGCGAAGCAUGCUUGCCUGGAUUUGUGCGUGGAGUAAGUUGCGACGCUUGUCUGGAUUUAUAGAGUUCACCUUUUCUUUUUAUUUUUUGACUAUGUCAUUCUUGAUACAGAUUUAAAGCAUCUCAAUUGCGUAGAGUCAGUUUCUAUAUCCUUUUAAUUGCUUUCUUCUGGUGAAUUUUGUUGGUGACUUAGUCUAGUGAUGUUUCGAGUUACAAUUGGUAUGGUUUGUCCAUCAAACACUAUAUAGAAGUGGCUGCUGUUUAUGCCUGGAAUUUGAUAUGAUGUUUGGAUGGCAUUUUCUUAUUCUUUACG